AGCGAACGCUGGCGGCAGGCCUAACACAUGCAAGUCGAACGAAGUCUUCGGACUUAGUGGCGGACGGGUGAGUAACACGUGGGAACGUGCCUUUAGGUUCGGAAUAACUCAGGGAAACUUGUGCUAAUACCGAACGUGCCCUUCGGGGGAAAGAUUUAUCGCCUUUAGAGCGGCCCGCGUCUGAUUAGCUAGUUGGUGAGGUAAAGGCUCACCAAGGCUACGAUCAGUAGCUGGUCUGAGAGGAUGACCAGCCACAUUGGGACUGAGACACGGCCCAAACUCCUACGGGAGGCAGCAGUGGGGAAUCUUGCGCAAUGGGCGAAAGCCUGACGCAGCCAUGCCGCGUGGAUGAUGAAGGUCUUAGGAUUGUAAAAUCCUUUCACCGGUGAAGAUAAUGACUGUAGCCGGAGAAGAAGCCCCGGCUAACUUCGUGCCAGCCGCCGCAGUAAUAC
rnacentral:rRNA from 1 species